UAUAGGGUAGCACAGAAAUUCCUGUGUUUUGGCCUCAGCAUAUGGAUUUGCAAAAGUGAACUAGAACAAUGUUCUGAGGGAAAAAAAGGCUUUUUUUUUUUCUUUCAGUAUCUUCUUUAGUUUUACAUCUCUUUUGCUGACUUCUAAAACCUAGAGAUAGUCUCUUCAAUGACCUAAACCUGCUGAUGACUACACAGUUUGAGUGAGAACCAAAUGGUUUGAGUUCUAUGAUUUUUAGGAUUUAAGUUGAUUCCCACACAAUCUGAUUAAAACAAGCUGCUGUCACAGAUGAGGUUUUUAUCACAUUAUUAUCACUCUCUCCAGCAUACCUUUGUCUAGAAGCUUCUGUACUUAAGUUUGCCAGCAUACACAAUAAGAGAUAAAAUGAUAAAAAAUUCUUCGGAUAUGUGUCCAAGAUAUUUUCAGACUGCUGUCCCUGAGCAUCUCUGCACAUCAGUUGCCAUGCAAGAAGUAGUCAAGCUUUCAUUCUCCACUGCCCAAGCGGCAGCAACUCUGUAACAGAACUGCAACCAGGAAAAAAAGAUGGCAUGUCUAAUAUUUUUGUUUGACUUAGCUUCAAAGUUAGUGUUUAUUUCCUGAAUUGAUACUGCAGUCCAAAAAGAGCAUGAAAAUGAAAUGACAGAGACAUGGCAAAACACUGGAGUUUAGUGAGAAGUUGGCUGUACUCUGGAAUUCACCAGCACCAGGGUCCAGGACUUCGUUGAUGCAUGAACAAGGGAGGACAGAGCUGUGACUGAGGACUAUAAAAGACCCCUGAGUUAACCAGAGACUCUGAGACUCCCCCUGAUGGACACAACUGAUCUAUUGGCUGGACCAUGAGGAUUUCGUCUCUCUGUUGUUUCUAUGCUGAUCCACCAGUGACUGCUUAGGAAAUUCAGGGCCCCGGAGGAGGUGUCACGCCCCCGUCAAGCACACAACAUCGAGCACAUCACAAAAGGGGAAGAAGAGGAAGAAGAGAUGUACACCCCUCACAAAGGUCUUGAGUGUUCUCAUGUUCUCAUAUUUUUCUCACGUCUUUCAAUCAAUUCACAAAGAAAAAGGACAAAUUGUGUUACGGUGCACUCGGGCUAUACUUUCCUCCCUUUCGGGGACCACUGUGACUGGAAUCAGAUAAACAGGGUCCCUUCCUUUCUGCUCCCCUGGGGUUGGCCGAGAGCCAGAAAGCCCUACCUGUCCAGAGCCUAGAUAAGACCAUGAUCCUUCCCGUUCGGGCUGUCUUUCCCCCUCCAUCUCAUGGAUUAAACAAGCUUGGAGAACCACAUUGGGAAUUGGAGCCUCUUUUGUACCUGUGCCCAUCUCCUGACGUGCCUUCCCUCAAGGCUCCAUAUAUCUGGGCUGGCCUAGUGAUUUGGGGGGGCUGAGAGGGUAGGCUCCUGAAAAUUGUUUUUCCUGUUUACAAAUUGUUUUCCAAGUAGCUGGGAUCUUCUAAGAGUUCUAAGGGUUAAAUGGUUGCUUGGUUUUAGUGUUAAUUUCUAAUUUUGUAACUUCUAAGCAAAUUGCCUCUGACAAGCUAGCCUGAGUUCUCACUUAACAGCUUCUAGUUUUGAGUGCUGCAUCUCCAGUGAUACAUGAGAAACAUCGCUAACUGAGAAAGCUAAGUUUGUCAAUUUGAGUAAAACACUCAUGUUGUCUUUGUCAUCCUAUCAGGUAACAAAGAACACUUUUAUAUUUUUUUUAUAUAACUCAAAGGGUGAGUUGUAGCAUUACAGUCCUUGGGUGGGCAAGGAUAGGUUGGAUUUAAAUCUGCACAGGGACUUUGUGGGAGGUGGUCCUGGGGGGGAUCCACCAGGAAUGCCCUGGGACACUACAAUGGUCUAAGGAAAAGCAUUGUCCUAGGAUUCCCUCCUUCCCCCAUGUCUAUCACUAGUUGUACCCUCCCCUGUUAAUGUCUAUCAACCAGUUGUACCAUCCCCAGUUCUGGAAAGUUCCUAGUUAUAUGUACUGUGAUUGGUUCUCUCCCCGAAACUACUCCUUCCCCUCUCUCCCACUGGAUCACCCCAUUCCUACUCCUCCCAUGAGCCCCUAUCCCAUUGGCCCCUAUGUACCCUGACCCUGCCUCUCCUUCCCCGGUUAUAAUUCCCGACCCCUCCUCUGGAGGAGGCUCUCAGUGUCAGCUUCCCUCUCAAAAGGUGGUCUCCCUGCAUCUUCCCUGCCUCUUCCUGCCUUCCUCUACCCCUGCUGAACCUGCAAUAAACCCUCAAGAACAACA